GACGAACGCUGGCGGCGUGCUUAACACAUGCAAGUCGAACGAAGAGCGAUGGAAGCUUGCUUCUAUCAAUCUUAGUGGCGAACGGGUGAGUAACGCGUAAUCAACCUGCCCUUCAGAGGGGGACAACAGUUGGAAACGACUGCUAAUACCGCAUACGAUCUAAUCUCGGCAUCGAGGAUAGAUGAAAGGUGGCCUCUACAUGUAAGCUAUCACUGAAGGAGGGGAUUGCGUCUGAUUAGCUAGUUGGAGGGGUAACGGCCCACCAAGGCGAUGAUCAGUAGCCGGUCUGAGAGGAUGAACGGCCACAUUGGGACUGAGACACGGCCCAGACUCCUACGGGAGGCAGCAGUGGGGAAUCUUCCGCAAUGGACGAAAGUCUGACGGAGCAACGCCGCGUGAGUGAUGACGGCCUUCGGGUUGUAAAGCUCUGUUAAUCGGGACGAAAGGCCUUCUUGCGAAUAGUGAGAAGGAUUGACGGUACCGGAAUAGAAAGCCACGGCUAAUACGUC
rnacentral:rRNA from 1 species